UACGUAGGGUGCAAGCGUUGUCCGGAAUCAUUGGGCGUAAAGCGCGCGUAGGCGGCUCGAUCAGUCUGCUGUGAAAGUCAAAGGCUCAACCUUUGAAUGCCGGUGGAUACUGUCGAGCUAGAGUCCGGAAGAGGCGAGUGGAAUUCCUGGUGUAGCGGUGGAAUGCGCAGAUAUCAGGAGGAACACCAACGGCGAAGGCAGCUCGCUGGGGCCGUAACUGACGCUGAGGAGCGAAAAGCGUGGGGGA
rnacentral:rRNA from 1 species